AUUGAACGCUGGCGGCAGGCCUAACACAUGCAAGUCGAACGAGUGGCGGACGGGUGAGUAAUGUCUGGGAAACUGCCUGAUGGAGGGGGAUAACUACUGGAAACGGUAGCUAAUACCGCAUCCCAUCAGAUGUGCCCAGAUGGGAUUAGCUAGUUGGUGGGGUAACGGCUCACCAAGGCGACGAUCCCUAGCUGGUCUGAGAGGAGGACCAGCAAGACUGGAAAUGAGAAACGGUCCAGAAUCCUACGUGAGGCAGCAGUGGGGAAUAUUGGACAAGGGGCGCAAGCCUGAUGCAGCCAUGCCGCGUGUAUGAAGAAGGCCUUAGGGUUGUAAAGUACUUUCAGCGGGGAGGCGUUACCCGCAGAAGAAGCACCGGCUAACUCCGUGCCAGCCGCCGCGGUAAUUC
rnacentral:rRNA from 1 species